rnacentral:rRNA from 1 species
UGGACGAAGUCUGACGGAGCACGCCGCGUGAGUGAAGAAGGUUUUCGGAUCGUAAAACUCUGUUGUUAGGGAAGAACAAGUGCCGUUCGAAUAGGGCGGCACCUUGACGGUACCUAACCAGAAAGCCACGGCUAACUACGUGCCAGCAGCCGCGGUAAUACGUAGGUGGCAAGCGUUGUCCGGAUUUAUUGGGCGUAAAGCGCGCGCAGGUGGUUUCUUAAGUCUGAUGUGAAAGCCCACGGCUCAACCGUGGAGGGUCAUUGGAAACUGGGGAACUUGAGUGCAGAAAAGGAAAGUGGAAUUCCAAGUGUAGCGGUGAAAUGCGUAAAUAUUUGGAGGAACACCAGUGGCGAAGGCGACUUUCUGGUCUGUAACUGACACUGAGGCGCGAAAGCGUGGGGAGCAAACAGGAUUAAAUACCCUGGUAGUCCACGCCGUAAACGAUGAGUGCUAAGUGUUAGAGGGUUUCCGCCCUUUAGUGCUGCAGCUAACGCAUUAAGCACUCCGCCUGGGGAGUACGGUCGCAAGACUGAAACUCAAAGGAAUUGACGGGGGCCCGCACAAGCGGUGGAGCAUGUGGUUUAAUUCGAAGCAACGCGAAGAACCUUACCAGGUCUUGACAUCCUCUGACAACCCUAGAGAUAGGGCUUUCCCCUUCGGGGGACAGAGUGACAGGUGGUGCAUGGUUGUCGUCAGCUCGUGUCGUGAGAUGUUGGGUUAAGUCCCGCAACGAGCGCAACCCUUGAUCUUAGUUGCCAGCAUUCAGUUGGGCACUCUAAGAUGACUGCCGGUGACAAACCGGAGGAAGGUGGGGAUGACGUCAAA